CGGCGGCGGCGGCGGGGGAUUUGAGACGUUAUUUCAGAGGGAAGCCCAAGAUGACGGGUUCUAACGAGUUCAAGCUGAACCAGCCCCCCGAGGAUGGCAUCUCCUCGGUGAAGUUCAGCCCCAACACCUCCCAGUUCCUGCUGGUCUCCUCCUGGGACACGUCCGUGCGCCUCUACGACGUGCGGGCCAACUCCAUGCGGCUCAAGUACCAGCACACGGGCGCCGUGCUGGACUGCGCCUUCUACGAUCCAACACAUGCCUAGAGUGGAGGGUUGGAUCAUCAGUUGAAAAUGCAUGAUUUGAAUACCGAUCAAGAAAAUCCUGUUGGAACCCAUGAUGCCCCUAUCAGAUGUGUUGAAUACUAUCCGGAAGUGAAUGUGAUGGUUACUCGAAGUUGGGAUCAAACAGUUAAAUUGUGGGAUCCCAGAACUCCUUGUAAUGCCAGAACCUUCUCUCAGCCUGAAAAGGUGUACACCCUCUCAGUAUCUGGAGACCGGCUGAUUGUGGGCACAGCAGGCCGCAGAGUGCUGGUGUGGGACUUAGGGAACAUGGGCUAUGGUGCAGCAGCGCAGGGAGUCCAGGCUGAAAUACCAGACUCGAUGCAUCCGGGCCUUCCCCAACAAGCAGGGUUAUGUAUUAAGUUCUAUUGAAGGCCGAGUGGCAGUUGAGUAUUUGGAUCCCAGCCCUGAAGUGCAGAAGAAGAAGUAUGCCUUCAAAUGUCACAGACUAAAAGAAAAUCAUAUUGAGCAGAUUUACCCAGUCAAUGCUAUUUCUUUUCACAAUAUCCACAAUACAUUUGCCACAGGUGGUUCUGAUGGGUAAUAUUUGGGAUGGGUAAUAUUUGUAAAUAUUUGGGAUCCAUUUAACAAGAAGCGACUGUGCCAAUUCCAUCGGUACCCCACUAGCAUCGCAUCACUUGCCUUCAGUAAUGAUGGGACCAUGCUUGCAAUAGCAUCAUCAUAUAUGUAUGAAAUGGAUGACAGGGAACAUCCUGAAGAUGGUAUCUUCAUUCGCCAAGUGACAGAUGCCAAAACAAAACCCAAGUAACCAUGUACUUGACAAAAUUUCAUUUAUUUAAAUGCCUUGUUGAUAAUAAAACAAUUUGUACUCCCCAAUAGUGGAUUUAUUAUUAUUAACCAAGAAAUCAGGAAAAUACUAAUU